rnacentral:rRNA from 1 species
UACGGAGGGUGCGAGCGUUGUCCGGAAUCACUGGGCGUAAAGGGCGCGUAGGCGGCCUGAUAAGUAGGGGGUGAAAUCCUGCGGCUUAACCGCAGGGCUGCCUUCUAAACUGUCAGGCUGGAGCACAGUAGAGGCAGGUGGAAUUCCUGGUGUAGCGGUGGAAUGCGCAGAUAUCAGGAAGAACACCCGUGGCGAAGGCGCUCUCUGGAACGCAACUGACGCUGAGACGCGAAAGCGUGGGGAGCAAACAGG